UACAAACAGAGCCUUAGCUUUGCCUAUUAGGCUCGUUUUUCUUCUUCGGCCAUUUCCUCCGACUUAUCUCGUCUUCUGGAAGAAAAGAAGGCCUACAAAGAAGCGGAUGAGAUAAUAGACAGAGAGAGAGAGAGAGAUGAUUUUAGCAGCUUUUGAGCUUUUAUUUAGGAAAAAAAAAUUGCUAUUAAGAAAGAGAGAUGGACCAGAUGGAUGUUGGUCAAAGAUUUUAGUCCUGCUGCUGUAGAACACAGACGCAGAGAGAGAGAGCGAGAGAAAGAGAGAGAGAGUGUGUCGUUUUUGUUAGGGCCAUGAAAAAAAUUGCUUCUUUCUUGCUUAGUAUCUUGAUUCAAAGAGAGGUAUAAGGGAAUAGAGCAUCAAAAAGAUUUCUGUUUUUUUUUUGGAUUGUUCGUUUCUUGGGUGUUGGAUAAUCUGUGUAUUGUUGUUUUAGAUUGUAAAAGCUUGUUAUAUAUAGUGACUGAAAACGAUUAAUGGGUAAGAAGAGGCCUCAAAAGACAAAGGAACUCUCUGUAGCAAUAGCAGAAGCUUCAUCCGCAGGAGAUGAAACCCACCACCAGCAGCCUCCUCAGACUCCGAGAAAGAGAGGAAGACCACGAAAAAUCAUUGAAAAAACAGAAAGCGAAGAGAAAAAGGAAGAAAUAGCAGCAACAGGAGGAGCAAAACCACCGGAAGAAGUUAUUGGGAAUCAUUCAAAGAAAGCUAAAAUCAUCCAAGGAGAAGAAAAACAGCAAGAGAUAGAAGCUGAGGGGCCAUCAGCUUCAACUAGAGGGAAAAAGAAAGAAGAGGGACAAUCAGAACAGAGGGGACCACCACCAAGGAGAAGCAGCAGGAGGAAAAGCAAACCCAUGAAGAGCAGUUUUUCAGGUAGUGAUUAUAAAAAAAAUUAAUUUCAUAUUUUGAAAACAUGGAAAAAAAAAAAAAAAAAAAAAAAA
rnacentral:misc_RNA from 1 species